CACCCGCCGAGCUUAA
rnacentral:rRNA from 2 species